AUUGAACGCUGGCGGCAGGCCUAACACAUGCAAGUCGAACGAGUGGCGGACGGGUGAGUCAUGUCUGGGAAACUGCCCGAUGGAGGGGGAUAACUACUGGAAACGGUAGCUAAUACCGCAUACCAUCGGAUGUGCCCAGAUGGAAUUGGCUAGUAGGGUGGGUAACGGCACACCUAGGCGCCGAUCCAUAGCUGGUCUGAGAGGAUGACCAGACAAAAUGGAACGGAGACACGGUCCAGACUCCGACGGGAGGCAGCAGUGGGGAAGAUUGCACAAUGGGCGCAAGCCUGAUGCAGCCAUGCCGCGUGUAUGAAGAAGGCCUUCGGGUUGUAAAGGACUUUCAGCGAGGAGGCGUUACUCGCAGAAGAAGCACCGGCUAACUCCGUGCCAGCAGCCGCGGUAAUAC
rnacentral:rRNA from 1 species